AAAGUCUUCAUGGAAAAGAUGCUCUAGUUUGAGGACCCAGGACAGAGAAUGGUGACAUGGAAUCUUCUUUCCUUAAGGCUCUCCUCCUACGGGGCAUAUU